AGGGAAUAUUGGACAAUGGGGGCAACCCUGAUCCAGCCAUGCCGCGUGAGUGAAGAAGGCCCUCGGGUUGUAAAGCUCUUUUGUCCGGAAAGAAAAGCUUCGGGUUAAUACCCCGGGGUUCUGACGGUACCGGAAGAAUAAGCACCGGCUAACUUCGUGCCAGCAGCCGCGGUAAUACGAAGGGUGCAAGCGUUACUCGGAAUUACUGGGCGUAAAGCGUGCGUAGGUGGUUGUUUAAGUCUGAUGUGAAAGCCCUGGGCUCAACCUGGGAAUGGCAUUGGAAACUGUGCAGCUAGAGUGCGGUAGAGGGUAGUGGAAUUCCCGGUGUAGCAGUGAAAUGCGUAGAGAUCGGGAGGAACAUCUGUGGCGAAGGCGACUGCCUGGACCAGCACUGACACUGAGG
rnacentral:rRNA from 1 species